AACAAACGCUGGCGGCGUGCCUAAUACAUGCAAGUCGAACGGGGAAAGCUUUCGGGUGAGUACUAGUGGCGCCCGGGUGAGGAACGCGUGGAUAAUAUGCCUUAGAGUGGGGGAUAACUAGUCGAAAGAUUAGCUAAUACCGCAUAAGACCACAGGAGCUGCGGCUCAAGGGGUCAAAGGUUUUUCGCUCUAAGAUGUGUCCGCGUAAGAUUAGCUAGUUGGUGAGGUAACGGCUCACCAAGGCGACGAUCUUUAACUGGUCUGAGAGGAUGAUCAGUCACACUGGAACUGAGACACGGUCCAGACUCCUACGGGAGGCAGCAGUAGGGAAUAUUGCACAAUGGAGGAAACUCUGAUGCAGCGACGCCGCGUGAGUGAUGAAGGCCUUCGGGUCGUAAAGCUCUGUCGCAGGGGAAUAACACAAUGAAUGUACCCUGUAAGAAAGGAUCGGCUAACUUCGUGCCAGCAGCCGCCGUAAUAC
rnacentral:rRNA from 1 species